rnacentral:rRNA from 1 species
GUCGAGCGGUAACAGAAAGUAGCUUGCUACUUUGCUGACGAGCGGCGGACGGGUGAGUAAUGCUUGGGAACAUGCCUUGAGGUGGGGGACAACAGUUGGAAACGACUGCUAAUACCGCAUAAUGUCUACGGACCAAAGGGGGCUUCGGCUCUCGCCUUUAGAUUGGCCCAAGUGGGAUUAGCUAGUUGGUGAGGUAAUGGCUCACCAAGGCGACGAUCCCUAGCUGGUUUGAGAGGAUGAUCAGCCACACUGGGACUGAGACACGGCCCAGACUCCUACGGGAGGCAGCAGUGGGGAAUAUUGCACAAUGGGCGCAAGCCUGAUGCAGCCAUGCCGCGUGUGUGAAGAAGGCCUUCGGGUUGUAAAGCACUUUCAGUCAGGAGGAAAGGUUAGUAGUUAAUACCUGCUAGCUGUGACGUUACUGACAGAAGAAGCACCGGCUAACUCCGUGCCAGCAGCCGCGGUAAUACGG